AGACCAGCUAGUGGCAUGCAUCACAUAAAAGCACAUGUAAUGAGCAAAAACAUUUCAGCUAAGACUUUCUGAAUAAGCCAACCAUGAGAAUGCUUCCACCCAGUUCAUAACCUCUGAAGAUGGCUGGAAGACUUCCAAUGUCAUGAUGAAAUCAAGCCCAAUAUUCCUCACCGAUGUGCAUUACAGAUCUCAAUCUGCAUGCGAUGGACACUGGUUAUGAUGACCUGAACCGGAAGCAAUGCAACCUGUUUUACAGACACAGAAUACGGAAGUUUGUUGCACGUAACCCAUGUGAAAAUUUCAAAAGCUAAACAAAUAAAAUAGUUUAACUGUA